AACCAUUACACAUUUCUUCCCUAUUGACAGAGUUUUACGACCCUAAGGCCUUCAUCACUCACGCGGCGUCGCUGCAUCACGGGUUUCCCCCCAUUGUGACAAAAAUUCCCUC
rnacentral:rRNA from 1 species